rnacentral:rRNA from 1 species
GAUGAACGCUGGCGGCGUGCCUAAUACAUGCAAGUCGAGCGAACAGACGAGGAGCUUGCUCCUCUGACGUUAGCGGCGGACGGGUGAGUAACACGUGGAUAACCUACCUAUAAGACUGGGAUAACUUCGGGAAACCGGAGCUAAUACCGGAUAAUAUAUUGAACCGCAUGGUUCAAUAGUGAAAGACGGUUUUGCUGUCACUUUUAGAUGGAACCGCGCCGCAUUAGCUAGUUGGUAAGGUAACGGCUUACCAAGGCAACGAUGCGUAGCCGACCUGAGAGGGUGAUCGGCCACACUGGAACUGAGACACGGUCCAGACUCCUACGGGAGGCAGCAGUAGGGAAUCUUCCGCAAUGGGCGAAAGCCUGACGGAGCAACGCCGCGUGAGUGAUGAAGGUCUUCGGAUCGUAAAACUCUGUUAUUAGGGAAGAACAAAUGUGUAAGUAACUAUGCACGUCUUGACGGUACCUAAUCAGAAAGCCACGGCUAACUACGUG